UCCUGGGGAAAGUUGGAGCGUGUGGCCCAGCCCAUAGUCCGGGUGGUUUGUACCUUGGCUUUGGAGUUGCCAGCUCCACGCGUGGCAGGCAAGGAGGUGGAGAUGCAGCGUGUUCAGGAGGGCAUGGAGAGCCUUGCCUGGCUGCCCUGCUGUGUGUGACCAAGGGCUCAGGGAAAAGAGACUUCACCAAGUGAAGGGAGGCCAUCUAAUUCACACUGUCUUCACCUGAGACCACCUCCAAAACAAAGAACCUGACUUCUGUCCUGGCUUUGUACACUGGAAUGGACCUUCAAGCCUGUGACUUCUCAAUGCAAGCGCCCUAUCCUUGGAUCAGCGCUUGGCCCGGUUCCUGCCAGCCCUGAAUGGGGUUCUGCCCUGCUCGCCUCCAUCCAGGGACAGCCAGGCAGGCAUUUCCAGGCUGCUUGUCCUGACCUGUGGCCCCACGGCUCAGGUAGGCUGCAGGCAGCCGUUCCCAGGCGCAGCUCCUCGGGCAGGGCUGAGCUGAGGGGAGGGAAGAUGUUAAAAGCCUGUCUGGGUAAGAACAGGGUUGUCACAUCCAUCUGCUCAGGCCCUGACGAGCAGCUGAUCCAUAUUGUUAACAUAUUGCCUGCCAUAUGGGCUAGCUCAGCUCUUCAGGAACGCUUGGGAGACCUGACCUCUAGUGUGACAAGAUGUGAGCAUGAAGGACGGGUUGACAACAGCCCUUGGGUCCUGGAGUGUGAAACCAUGUUUCAGCCACUUCCGCUGCCUUCCCCUGCGCUUACUGCCUCUGCCUGCCUCGCUCCGUCUCUUCUGUCUCUCUGAGGAUUUUUUCCCCUCCCUCCCCUGUUUUCUGCAGCCCUGGUCUGUGCUAGAUCAAUGACCUUCACUCAUAACCAGACCGGACAGUUCUGGCUCCCUCCCCCGGGCCUUCGAUCAGAUGUUUGGUUGGAAAGCUGAAUGGGGGGGAAAGCGGAUUGUGUGCUUGGCAGCCUCAUAGCUGUGCUUACCAUUUCUGGCCUGGGAGUGGGACUGGAGACUGAUGCACUGAGGUCCUCAGCACCUCCUGCUCGCUUGGACAGCCGCUCGUGUCACCUUUUGAUGGAGGAUGAAAUCCACCAGUGGGGUCUAAGCAGGUUGAAAGGUCUCAGAUGUUCAGGAAAGGGCCUUGAUGCCAAAGUUCAAGGAGAGAACACUUAAAAGGCUCUUGAGAGACAUGGAAUGAGUCAGCUUAAAAAUAAAGGUAAGGGCGGCCCAAAGCCCUUCCAGAAGGCCUGCAGUGCCCAGCAGCUGGUGGUUUUGCUCAUGAGAGGGACAAAAGCUGAAGAGGGGUUGUGGCAGUGAGGAGGUUGGCUGAACAGGAUCCCUCCCGGAGCGGAACGAGGCCUGGCCACAGAGCCUGUGGUGCAGUGAGGUGCAGGCACACGGGUGUGGAUUUGUGGAGCAGCUCAGCUCUGAAGAAGCCCAGGGCUUCAGUGGAGGCUGGCAGUUGCCUGGGUGACUGUCACACUGGAGACCAGCCUGCCCCAAAAACUCAGAUGGAUACAGGGAUGCUCAGUACUGGAGGAGACAGGACUGAGACAGGCCUUUGUGGGUUCAGACCUCGCUUUCCCUGUCACCUGCAGUCGUUUGUUAGAAUUUGUGAUGUCCUCGUGAUGGAACUGCUGCUUAUGAAGUUGGCUAUCCCCUUCCUAAGGCUUCUGUCUUCGCAGCUGAAAUUUAUGAAGGUUAAAUCCUGGUCUAGGGAAGCAAGCACUGGUUUUACUGUAAACUUCAGUGGCAUUGGGAUUUCAGCCUUGGCUCCUCAGGAGGGGAUUAGGAUGUUUCCCAAUAUUUUUUACCCAUCAGCUCUGUCAGACCUGCAGACAUGACUCAUUCAUAUUUUAGUGCCCCCAUGUAAGGGUUGCCUUAAUUUUACAUGUCUGUCCUGUGAAAAUCAUUGUCCUCCAAAAAGCUGAGAUUUUGCCCUGCUCUUCAUAAAGGUUUUAGAGCAGUUUAGAUGCUUUCAUUUCUCUCCUUUGCCAUAUACCUGCAAUUGCACUGAUCUUUAAUAGUGUUUAUUUGUAGAGAGGAACCCACUGAAAUAUUGCAAAAUAAAACACAGUGAUGAGUCGUGGUUUAUUUACUCAAGCUUAACUGAUGUAACAAACCUGAUUUUAUGUUACUAAUGACUCAGAAGCAGAGUUGGGAGGAGAAGCCAGAUCUUCUGAGUCCUUUAACCAUCCAACAGUAUUCCUUCCUGUCCUUAGAUCCAGCAGCAGUUCUCUGAGCUGGGAUACAGGCAGUACUUCUGUGGCACUGUGAUGAAAAUCUGGCUGAAAAAAAUAAUAAUUGUGUUUUGUGAGGGGUUCUAUUAACACUCAGGAGCACAUUCAGCUCUGGUAGGCACCGCAUACACACAGUCUGUCUGUCUGUCUGUCCGUCAGGCAGCUCUCCAGCCAGCAGGGACCAUGGCCUGAGGAGUUCCUCAAGGAAAACCAGUUGGAAAGCACUUGGAGCAAUCAGUGCUAAGUAUGCACAUGAGUGUUCGAGGGAAAUGCAUGUUCAAAAUGCAGAUCAUAGAAAUCUGUUGAUAAAACUAAAAAAUUUUAGAAAUGAGCAAAUAGUGUAAAGUGAA